UACGUAGGGUGCAAGCGUUGUCCGGAAUUAUUGGGCGUAAAGAGCUCGUAGGCGGUUUGUUGCGUCGGCUGUGAAAUCCCGAGGCUCAACCUCGGGUCUGCAGUCGAUACGAGCAAACUAGAGUGUUGCAGGGGAGACUGGAAUUCCUGGUGUAGCGGUGAAAUGCGUAGAUAUCUGGAGGAACACCGGUGGCGAAGGCGGCAUUCUGGACCGAUAUUGACGCUGAGGAGCGAAAGCCAGGGGAGCAAACGGGG
rnacentral:rRNA from 1 species